rnacentral:miRNA from 21 species
UUAUUGCUUGAGAAUACGCGUAG